rnacentral:lncRNA from 1 species
CAGAAUCCUCUCUUAAUGGCUUUUGUAGCUUCACAGGCCUCCUGCUUGCUUCUCUUCUAUCCACUGUUCCAGUUUGAUCUGGGUCUGCACAGUCUGGACCACUGCUUGUACACACACAUACACACAUGCUUAUACCCACAUACAAACACACACACACACACACAUAUACGUAUACACAUACACACAUGCAUACACACAUACAUACAUAGACAUAUACAUACGUACAUACACACAUGCAUACAUACACAGACAUGCACACAGUACAAGGCAUACAGACACAGACACACAUAUGCAUACACACAGAUACACAGACACACAGACACACAGAAACAUACACAUACAUACAUACAUAGACAUGCACAUAUACACACACAUACAUACAUACACACAGACACACACAAAGCAACAUCAGCAAAGCUUUAAAGUCCUUAGUUUUUUGCUUGCUGCUUUGUGUUUUGCGCAUGCUUGUUUUGAAGCCGGUGUUUAUUAUCAGGUUAUUGCUCAUAAAACCUUUAUCUUCAGCCUUUCCCCUGAAAUACCUGGUGCUACCGAAGCUGUCAUGAUCCGUCAUGAGGGCCGGGAUGACUCGGCAAUGAGAACGAGGCAACGUGGAGAUCACCACCUUUCUCUCCUCUCGCCUUCCUUCCUCUUUCCUUCUCGGCGCUCAGCGAUGGAGGGACUGGACAAUAGGAUCUUCCUUGCACAGACAUAGGCCACCGGAAAUGGCAUCACCUCCCCAGAACUGCCUUGUGAAAGUUGCAGCACCCAGCGCUGAACUUAUUUACCCCGAAGACAGAGCCUGGGCCAUUCUGAUCUACAGCCAGGAAAGGACUCUAUCUAGGGAAGGAUCUAGAAUCAACAGAGAGACACCUUUUUUUUAAAAGUCACCAGUGGUUUCCAUAAGUAAGUACUUCUCAGCUUUCUGUUUUUGGUUUUUUUGUUUUUUUUUUUUUUCUUUCGAUAAUGGGUCUCUUGUAGCCCAGGCUAUCUUCCUCCUUCUCCUCCCCCUCCUCCUCCCUAUGUAACUGAGGAAGAAAGAUCUUGGGAGAUUCCCCAUGCUCUUUUAAAUAUACAUUUAAAUUUUCAGAUCGAUCAUCAUUUCUCAGAUCUCUACUGUAAGGAGUCAAUGAGCAGGGGGGGGGG